rnacentral:rRNA from 1 species
UGGGGAAUAUUGGACAAUGGGCGCAAGCCUGAUCCAGCCAUGCCGCGUGUGUGAAGAAGGCCUUUUGGUUGUAAAGCACUUUAAGCGAGGAGGAGGCUACUUGGAUUAAUACUCUAGGAUAGUGGACGUUACUCGCAGAAUAAGCACCGGCUAACUCUGUGCCAGCAGCCGCGGUAAUACAGAGGGUGCGAGCGUUAAUCGGAUUUACUGGGCGUAAAGCGUGCGUAGGCGGCUUCUUAAGUCGGAUGUGAAAUCCCUGAGCAUAACUUAGGAAUUGCAUUCGAUACUGGGAAGCUAGAGUAUGGGAGAGGAUGGUAGAAUUCCGGGUGUAGAGGUGAAAUGCGUAGAGAUCUGGAGGAAUAACGAUGGCGAAGGCAGCCAUCUGGCCUAAUACUGGCGCUGAGGUACGAAAGCGUGGGGAGCAAACAGG